UCGAAAAUCCAAUCUCGUUCCCAGAGUAUGCCUGUUCGCGUGUUAUGUAGUGGCACUACAUAACCCGCGAACAGGCAUACUCUGGGAACGAGAUUGUCAAAAUCAUU